rnacentral:rRNA from 1 species
AUUGAACGCUGGCGGCAUGCCUUACACAUGCAAGUCGAACGGCAGCACGGGAGCAAUCCUGGUGGCGAGUGGCGAACGGGUGAGUAAUAUAUCGGAACGUGCCCAGUCGUGGGGGAUAACGCAGCGAAAGCUGUGCUAAUACCGCAUACGAUCUAUGGAUGAAAGCGGGGGAUCGCAAGACCUCGCGCGAUUGGAGCGGCCGAUAUCAGAUUAGCUAGUUGGUGAGGUAAAGGCUCACCAAGGCGACGAUCUGUAGCUGGUCUGAGAGGACGACCAGCCACACUGGAACUGAGACACGGUCCAGACUCCUACGGGAGGCAGCAGUGGGGAAUUUUGGACAAUGGGCGAAAGCCUGAUCCAGCAAUGCCGCGUGCAGGAUGAAGGCCUUCGGGUUGUAAACUGCUUUUGUACGGAACGAAACGGUGAGCUCUAAUACAGUUUGCUAAUGACGGUACCGUAAGAAUAAGCACCGGCUAACUACGUGCCAGCAGCCGCAGUAAUAC